GAUGAACGCUGGCGGCGUGCCUAAUACAUGCAAGUCGAGCGCAGGAAGCCGUUCCGAACCCUUCGGGGGGACGAACGGUGGAAUGAGCGGCGGACGGGUGAGUAACACGUAAAGAACCUGCCCAUAGGUCUGGGAUAACCACGAGAAAUCGGGGCUAAUACCGGAUGUGUCAUCGGACCGCAUGGUCCGCUGAUGAAAGGCGCUCCGGCGUCGCCCAUGGAUGGCUUUGCGGUGCAUUAGCUAGUUGGUGGGGUAACGGCCCACCAAGGCGACGAUUCAUAGCCGACCUGAGAGGGUGAUCGGCCGCACUGGGACUGAGACACGGCCCAGACUCCUACGGGAGGCAGCAGUAGGGAAUCUUCCACAAUGGACGAAAGUCUGAUGGAGCAACGCCGCGUGAACGAUGAAGGCUUUCGGGUCGUAAAGUUCUGUUGUAAGGGAAGAACAAGUGCCGCAGGCAAUGGCGGCACCUUGACGGUACCUUGCGAGAAAGCCACGGCUAACUACGUGCCAGCCGCCGCCGUAA
rnacentral:rRNA from 1 species